rnacentral:rRNA from 1 species
UGGGGAAUAUUGCACAAUGGGCGCAAGCCUGAUGCAGCCAUGCCGCGUGUAUGAAGAAGGCCUUCGGGUUGUAAAGUACUUUCAGCGAGGAGGAAGGCGUUGUGGUUAAUAACCGCAACGAUUGACGUUACUCGCAGAAGAAGCACCGGCUAACUCCGUGCCAGCAGCCGCGGUAAUACGGAGGGUGCAAGCGUUAAUCGGAAUUACUGGGCGUAAAGCGCACGCAGGCGGUCUGUCAAGUCGGAUGUGAAAUCCCCGGGCUCAACCUGGGAACUGCAUCCGAAACUGGCAGGCUAGAGUCUUGUAGAGGGGGGUAGAAUUCCAGGUGUAGCGGUGAAAUGCGUAGGGAUCUGGAGGAAUACCGGUGGCGAAGGCGGCCCCCUGGACAAAGACUGACGCUCAGGUGCGAAAGCGUGGGGAGCAAACA